AAUGCACCAAUUUGUAAGUAGCUCUGGAUAAGAGCGUCUGCUAAAUUACGUAAA
rfam:Salmo salar isolate Sally breed double haploid chromosome ssa21, whole genome shotgun sequence.